GGGCACCUACGGGGGCCUCAAUACAUAGGCGGGGGAACCCGCCGUUGCUAAACGGAAGACAGAAA
rnacentral:ncRNA from 1 species